rnacentral:snoRNA from 11 species
CCUUGAUGAUCCAUAAAAUAUGACUUUCGUUCUUCUGAGCUUGCUGAAGCCAUGUUUUUGAUCUGAGAAGG